AGUGGUGAUCCAAACAGGAAGUGACAUAGCAGGGAGUUUCAUAUUUAAGCAAGGACAAGCAGAAGUAGUUCCUUUUCCCCUUCACUCUUCCUCUUGCUCUCUGCUCUGAGCCACCAUGUGAUCCCGGGGAUGAGGAUGCCAGCAGAAGGCAUCAGAUAAGGCUGGAACAGAUAAUCAGCGUAACCAAUGCUCAUCCUGAUCUACUGCACUGAAGCCUUGCCAUGCUAACUGUGAUCUUAUUCCAAGAUAAAUGCACAGGAUUUGGAACGUGCUUCUGGGAAUUAAUCUCCUAUGAACUCCACUGCUCACAAUCUGUUUGAAGAGACCAUGUAUAAACAUGGAGCCGAGAUGGCAGUUCCAGAAGAGAGCAUGAUGAGGCAGACAGCUGCGUGACAUGCUGCAGGAAGACAUCCUGGCACAGUCAAUGAAACAUGGACUUGAAUUAAGACAAUAAGCUUGUUAAACCUCAACAUGAUAGAUUUACAGACCCUGGUGAAUAGCUCAACUUUUAGACUAUAAUUUGCCAAACUUUAAAUGGAAGUAACAUAUUUUCAUAUCUUACCUGUAUAUGUCUGGUCACAGUCAUAAUAAUAAUAAAUGGCAUAAAAUUAUAUAUUAUGCUAUUAGACCCUCGUUUCUAUUAGAAUUGUAUUAAGAGGCAAAUGGACCAAAAUGUGCUAUAGAGGCAAAGAAUACAUGGC
rnacentral:lncRNA from 1 species